GGAUGUGAGGGGGAUCUGGCUGCUGCGACAUCUGUCACCCCCAUUGAUCAUCAGGGUUGAUGAGACUGAUCUGACUGGCUAGGUGGGUGUCCCCUACUUCCCUCACGGCUCCAUGUGCGUCCCUCCCGAAGCUGCAUGCUCAGUGGAAGAGGACUUGGUCAAGUGUACACGAGUAGCUGCGCUCCCCUGCUAGAACCUCCAAACAAGCUCUCAAGAACAGACUGGGCGAGAGGCCCAUCUUCCUUUAGAGAGAGUGGAGGUUAAUUUGAGGCCUGGAGACGGAACAGGAAAUAGCCAGGUUCC
rnacentral:snRNA from 1 species